rnacentral:lncRNA from 1 species
CCUGUGUAUGCAACUACUUACUUGUGUAGUACAAUAGCCUAGAAUUUACAUUCAUUUAUUUUUUCAGUCCACAUGAUGCAAUUAUAUACCUCAAUACUUAACUAUAACAAAAUUUCUGCGUGGGACACAUGUUCUGGUACACCAAAACUGGUACCUGCCACCUUUAACCACUCAUUGAAAACAAUAUAAUUCCAUUUUUUUUUAGUCUGAUUGAGUUCUAUAGUCCUUUACCAUUAAAAAUACAUGCAUUUUAUAUGGUUACAGCACAAAAGAAAACAUUAAUAGGCUUUGUAAGACCAAAUUUAUUAAAGCAUUAUUUGCGUCUUUUGCCGUCAAACUGCUUUGAAUGCAAAAAAAUUAGAAAAAAAUGAUUGUGUUCAUAUUUAAUAAAUUU